UGAACCUGGCCGUGACACUCAACGUGCACAUCACCCCCGCCUUCAUUUCCUCACAUGCACCCACCCAUGGACCACCGGCACCGAUAGAAGAGUUCUCCUGCUGUCCACACUCGGUCUUCAACAGAUGUGUGUUGUUCGAAAAUGCUGGCCAGGGUAGAAUAUAGAGGAGUCCAAAAAUACAUAAAAGUUCCACAAAAUGAUGAAAACUUUGAUUUUCUCCAGUUUCUUCAAGCAGUAACAGACAAAUUUAGCCUGCAGGCUGAAUCUCUGAAUGAAGGUCUCCUCAGCUUGACUGAUACAUCAGGU